CCCGAACAACAGAACUUCACUUCUCAUCUCACACUAGGGUUUCAACUUCUUCACCACGCUUCUGGUCUUAAUCUCAAUCGUCUUCGUCACCAUGCUUCCAAUCUCAUAGUCUGAUAUGAUAAUAAGGUAUUAAUACAUUUUAACCCAUUGCAAAAACACAAACUUCAUUUGCAUCCUAGGGUUUCUGCAUCUUCAAUCUUACAUCUUCCUCUCAUCCAUCCCUAAAAGAUCUUCAUUACCAAGGUCUGAUUUCCUUUUAAUCUAUUAAUCAUUCAGAAACCCUAAUUCUCCCCAAGGUGCGAUUCUCAAACACUUCGCCCAAAAUCCCAUUUUCCAGGUCGAAAAACCAAAACCUAAAUCGUUCCAAAAUCGUAGGUUCUACGUAUCGAGUCGAAAAAACUGAAAUCUCAUGUUGCUUCUCCAUUGUAUAAAAUCAAAAUAACUAGGUCACCACGUCUUGAAUAGACGUCAUCAAUAGCAACAAAUAAAUCACAGGCCCAUUUAAUGAAAUUAAGAGGAAGAGGCACCGCAAAAAAAGGUGCUGGGUAAAGUGUGGUCAAUAACAUUCAAGUAUCAUUUCCUCAUGCCACCAUAUUAUUCUCUUCUGAUACGAUUUCUAGCUUCCUUUGAAGGAUUGUUUAGACAACUUCAAAGAUCAAAAGAAUUCUAGUAUGUACCUGAAGAUGCAAUGACGGAAAGAUGGUAGAUACCCCGGGUUAAAGUUCCUCCAUGAGGACUUUCAAAUAAACCUAAAAAUGUUUCUUUUUUACGCAGCACAGAACUUCAACGCUCUUAUAAAGCCUGUGAUAUGAAAAGGAGACAUGUCUUGUGUGGUUUGCUUGCUGGAAAUAUGGCUAAAUCAUGUACUACUCUGACUUAAACAACAUAAAUUUGGUGUUGCAAUGGAGUUUGCGUUAUGGACAAAUUACGCAGUCUGAACUAAAACAACACAAUUGUCUCGCCUAAAUGCACAUAAAGCCGUUUUAUGUAAGGUUCAUUCCGGUUAUAUUAAUGUUUUAAGUUGCUUAGAAAAUUUGUCUCGCCUCAUAGUCCGUCACACGCACUUACGAACACUCAGUCCGAACAACUAUAUAUACAUAAUUACAUUCGUACGGACUAAAGCUACAUUCGUGUGGACCAGCACCUUCAUGUGAAGGUAACCUGCUCAUCCGUGCGGAUGAGCUUGUUUAUCAUA